rnacentral:rRNA from 1 species
ACGAAGGGGGCUAGCGUUGUUCGGAAUUACUGGGCGUAAAGGGCGCGUAGGCGGUCCUGAUCGUCGGAUGUGAAAGGCCUGGGCUCAACCUGGGAACUGCAUCCGAUACGGCGGGACUGGAGUGUGGGAGAGGUUGGUGGAAUUCCCAGUGUAGAGGUGAAAUUCGUAGAUAUUGGGAAGAACACCGGUGGCGAAGGCGGCCAACUGGACCACAACUGACGCUGAGGCGCGAAAGCGUGGGGAGCAAACAGGA